rnacentral:rRNA from 1 species
AUUGAACGCUGGCGGCAUGCCUUACACAUGCAAGUCGAACGGUAACAGGUCUUCGGAUGCUGACGAGUGGCGAACGGGUGAGUAAUACAUCGGAACGUGCCUAGUAGUGGGGGAUAACUACUCGAAAGAGUGGCUAAUACCGCAUGAGAUCUACGGAUGAAAGCAGGGGAUCGCAAGACCUUGUGCUACUAGAGCGGCCGAUGGCAGAUUAGGUAGUUGGUGGGAUAAAAGCUUACCAAGCCGACGAUCCGUAGCUGGUCUGAGAGGACGAUCAGCCACACUGGGACUGAGACACGGCCCAGACUCCUACGGGAGGCAGCAGUGGGGAAUUUUGGACAAUGGGCGCAAGCCUGAUCCAGCAAUGCCGCGUGCAGGAUGAAGGCCUUCGGGUUGUAAACUGCUUUUGUACGGAACGAAAAGCCCUGGGUUAAUACCCUGGGGUCACGACGGUACCGUAAGAAUAAGCACCGGCUAACUACGUGCCAGCCGCCGCAGUAAUAC